UACGUAGGGUGCAAGCGUUAAUCGGAAUUACUGGGCGUAAAGCGUGCGCAGGCGGUUUCGUAAGUCUGUCGUGAAAUCCCCGGGCUUAACCUGGGAAUGGCGAUGGAGACUGCGAGGCUAGAGUUUGGCAGAGGGGGGUAGAAUUCCACGUGUAGCAGUGAAAUGCGUAGAGAUGCGGAGGAACACCGAUGGCGAAGGCAGCCCCCUGGGCUAACACUGACGCUCAGGCACGAAAGCGUGGGGAGCAAACAGG
rnacentral:rRNA from 1 species